GACGAACGCUGGCGGCGUGCCUAAUACAUGCAAGUAGAACGCUGAAGAGAGGAGCUUACUCUUCUUGGAUGAGUUGCGAACGGGUGAGUAACGCGUAGGUAACCUGCCUUGUAGCGGGGGAUAACUAUUGGAAACGAUAGCUAAUACCGCAUAACAAUGGAUGAUACAUGUCAUUUAUUUGAAAGGGGCAAUUGCUCCACUACAAGAUGGACCUGCGUUGUAUUAGCUAGUAGGUGAGGUAAUGGCUCACCUAGGCGACGAUACAUAGCCGACCUGAGAGGGUGAUCGGCCACACUGGGACUGAGACACGGCCCAGACUCCUACGGGAGGCAGCAGUAGGGAAUCUUCGGCAAUGGGGGCAACCCUGACCGAGCAACGCCGCGUGAGUGAAGAAGGUUUUCGGAUCGUAAAGCUCUGUUGUAAGUCAAGAACGGGUGUGAGAGUGGAAAGUUCACACUGGGACGGUAGCUUACCAGAAAGGGACGGCUAACUACGG
rnacentral:rRNA from 1 species